UUAAUAAAAAAUUUUAAAAUUUUCUUAUAUAUUUGGAAGUAUUUGUGGAAAAUAUUGAAGAUGUGAAAAGUGAUCAAUUGAAGAAAAUAUGGAGAUAUUGACAAUAAAACAUGAAAACUCUUUGAAAUUUUGUAGCAUUUUUGGUUUUUUAUAUUUUAUUUUGUAUCAAACAAAAUAUUGUACCGUUCUAUUUAUAGAUUAGUAAAUAAAAAAACUUUUUUUUAUGAUUUACUUACGAAUAUUAUAGUAUAAAAAUAUGAAUAUAUACACAUACACUUGAAAAAAUAUGAAUACAUACACCUAAAACGUCAACUUUUUUGGUUAUUAAAACUAUAGUUUUUUUUUAAUAAUAAAUAUUCAAUUUUUAAUUUAAAAGUUUAUAGAUUUUUAAAUAUUUACUGUUUUUUUUUUUAAAUUGCAUAUUAAAAAAAAGUAUUUUUUUUUCAUUUUUUUUAAAAUUCAUGUUUUCUAAAAAAAUUUCAAAAACCUACAAUUUUAAAGAAAAUCGAAAACUAAUAUUUAAAAAAAAAAUCUGAAAAUUUGAUUUGUUAUUUUAAUUUUUAGACAUUUUUAGUAAUAUUUAAAAAACUAAAAAAAAAUAAACAUUAAAUGAGAUUGGUAAAUCUAACGCUUAACCUUUAGUUCUCAGAAAACUAUUAGAUCUAACGAUCCACCUUUUGCAUUUUAAAAAUAUUUUUUCUUAUCUACAAAAUAAGUGGCUAGGAUUGCGUCUCACGAUCUCACAAAAUUAGACCGUCUCACAUGANUAAAAUCCCAAAGAUAGCUACCCCAAGCGAAACUAACAAAACAGAAAAACAAAAUUGGUUUUAAUAUAAAUUAUAACUUUAAUAAAAUAAAACUUUUAACGUAAACAAAAUAUACAUGUUCCAGACAUCCAAAUUCUCAGCAAAAAAAAACCAAUCUUGUGGCACCCGAACAUUUAUUUCUUUUCCCAAAAAACAUUCACACAAAAUGUAUAUCAAACAUACUCUAACUGCAUCUAUGUCGUCAACUUCUAAGAAUGUUCGAUUUAAAAUUAAAAGUUUCAGGUCGCCGAUUUUCACCGAACUAUUUGUAUGGUUCGGAAAUAGCCGCUCACGCAAUAAAUAUCUUUUUUUUACUAGUUACUAAUUUUUCCAACACUUUUUUCCCGAUGUUUUUUGGAUACUCCCCAAAAUUGAAGCCAGUUAUCAAACAAAACUCUUCCGGCCCAUAUACCAUUUUCGUAUUGUCUACUCUAAAAUAUAACCGUUUUAUUCCAUUUGGAGAUAAAACAGGGUCCAACUGGAUCCAAUGAAGGAACAUUUUAUGGAAUAACAAUCCGUCCCUUUGUAAACGAGGGACAUCCAUCAAAUAACCAAAUACGGUAUCUCUAAAAAUGGUACGCCUGACACCAUCUAAAACUUCAAAUACUUCCCAUAUAUUACCGCCCGAGCCUUUUAAGUUUACAAUUCUUUUCAUAUUGAAAAAACUAAAAUCAUGCUGCAAAAAAAACACAAAAACAAAUUAGAGAACUAAAAAAUAUUUUGUUUUUAAAAUAUAUGAUUAUUAACUGCAAUAAGUACAUAAACAAUAAUAAUUUUAGUAAUGCAAAUACAAAUUCUUAAUUAAUAAUUUAUAUAUUUACGAUAAAAAACAAUAACAUACACAUAUAUAAACAAUUUUCCAAGUUAUACAAUAGAUAUAUUUACGAUAAAAAACAAUAUCAUACACAAAUAUAUAAACAUUUUGUUAAACAAAUUUUCAACUUGAACGACAAAUAUAUAAACAAUUUUUAUCUUUCUAAUUAUAUAAACUAACAUUUUAUAACCAUAUAAACAAAUAAUUUUUCAAAUAAAACGACAACCAAAUUAACAAUUUUGCAAGUUAUACGACAAAUAUAUACAAAUUUUCAACUUAUACGAUAAAUACAAACAAUUUCUAACAAUACUAUAAAAAAAUUAUACUUCAAAAAUAAAUAUAUUUGUAUACAAAUGUUAUACUUAUACAACAAAUAUAUAUACAAACGACUAUUUUGCACAUACUGUAAUUUAACUAUUUUUCACUUUAUAUAAACAAUUAUACGAUAAGAAUAUACAAUUUUUCAAGUUAUACAACAACUAAACAAACAACAAAAAUAACAAAUUGUGAACAUUAUUCUAACAAUUUAUUUAACUAAUAACUUAAAAAAAAUAAGCAUAUUCUAACCAUUUUAGUAAAUGUAAAACCACCCGAUGCAUACUCUAUAUAGUCUCUACUUGUACAUUCAAACAACCACUAACAAAAUAGCAUUUAAAGUUCAAGUAUACUAGAGAAAUAUUAAAACUAUCAAAUACAACAAAAUUACCCUUUCACAAACAUUAUAAUUUCUAUUUUUUUUUACACUAAAUAAGACAAUAAAUAAUAAAAUAAUAAAGAGUUAAAACAUUAAAAGAGUUAAAUUCUAACCAUAUUUGCGGGAUUGUUGACAUAAUCCUCCAUUUUACUCAAAAAAUAGCCUAAAUCGCGAAAAUAGCCCCAAGAUAGAGAUGGUUUUUGUGUAGAGAAGAGUGAAGAAUGGAGAAAAAAACGUUUAUAUAGAGAAAAUGAGGGAAUUUCGCAGAUGGUUUGCUAAUUUCGCAGAUGGACCUUUCCAUCUGCGAAUGUACAAGUAGCUAAAGCACAGUUGUCCUUUAGCUGCUUGUAUAUUCGCAGAUGGAAAACCCAUUUCGCAGAUGAGACUAUUCCAUCUGCGAAAUUCAUGGUUAUUUUUGCAACUUCGGUUUUUUUGGCUAUUUUUGUAAUGUAAUUAGUGUAAAUGACUAUUUUUGUCAUUUUCUCUAAUAUAAAUACCAAAAUUAUUAUAAAUGAUUAAUUAUGACAAUGUUUAAAAAUUGUUUUUAGUGUACGGUAGCAACUUUUUGUUGUUUUGUUUGGGCAAGUUUAAAGUUUAUGUCUGUAUACAUUUUAUUUUAUUAUUCAUUUUGCUAUUAUAACUUAGAAUAUAGUUACAAAAUAUGAUUCUUAAAUAUAUUUACAGUUUCCAUUAAAUUAAUUUCUAAGGCGCAAUUUUAUUACAUUAAGAAAUCUAUUUUCUUAGUUUUAAAAUUGAUGACUAAGUUUUGGUGUCAUGAUUUGUUGAAAAUAAAAUAUGAUGAAAAUGAAUUUAUAUGUGAAUCAUAUGUGAUUCACAUGUAAAUUAUAUAUGAAUUACAUGUGAUUCACAUGUAAAUUACAAAUGAGUUAAAUGUGAUUCACAUAUAAAUCACAUAUGAAUUACAUGUGAUUCACAUGUAAAUUACAAAUAAAUUACAUGUGAUUCACAUGUAAAUCACAUAUGAAUUAUGUGAUUCAUUUGUGAUUUCACAUGUCAAUCACAAGUGAAUCACGUAUGAAUUACAUGUGAUUCACAUGUAAAUUACAAAUGAAUUACAUGUGUUUCACAUGUAAAUCACAAGUGAAUAACAUAUGAAUUACAUGUGAUUCACAUGUAAAUUACAAGUGAAUCACAUAUAAAUAGAGUCUAUAUGAAAACAUGCAUUUUGUGUGAGUGUUCUUCGAUAUUUUUAUUUUAUUUUAUAGUGAAUUUCACACUUGAAUCUUAAAAGAUACAAUCACAUGUGAAUAUCACAUUAUAUAAUCACAUAUGAAUCUUGCAUGAUGUGACAACCCGAAGUUCGUUCCGUCGUCGUAACCCGGAUUCCGUCAAUAAAGCCGCUACGUCCCAAUUUUUCCGUUAACUUUGUUUUAAAUUAAUUUAAUUGCGACUUCAAUUUAAAUUUCAUAAGUGUCGGGAUACAUAUUAAAACAUUAAAAUAUUUUCUAAUUUCAUUUAGAAAAUAUUUAGUUUCAUCUAAGUCGUAGUUAGUAUCGGGUAGAAUUUCACCGUGUCCAAAACUUUGAGCAUAUAUAAAGUUGAGAGAGCCUCAUUUGAAGCCUUUUCCACUCUCUCUCUACUUUCUCUCUCUAAAACUAUAAAUCAAGCCAAAAUCAUCCAAAUCAAGCUCCAAAUCAUCAAGGUAACUAUCAUAGCUCCUAGUAUAACACCUUUGGCCUUCAAAUUUGUGAAUUAUAUGAGAAAUAGGACCAUUAGCAUGAGUUUACGGUCCUAGAACAUCCCUAGGCCGUGAACUCACAUAAAAGGGGUUUUUGGGCCAUAAAACCCUUCCAAGCCUCAUUUGGAGCUUAGAUAUGACUAAGGGACUUAUUUACAUGGACUUAGAACACCUUUAACUCUUCAUUUGGGGCAUAAGCAUGAGUUUACGGCCCAAGCACAUGCUUGGACCGUAAACACCUAUUCAAGGGGAGUAAACUCAUUUUAAGGUGUUAGUUUGCCCCUAAACACCUCCAACAAGCUUCCAUGAGAGUUUAGAACCUUAAAAUCCUUCAAUAAAUGCACCAAAUCAUACACAAAUGGGACAAACUUGAGUUUACAGCCCAAGAACAUUCUUGGACCGGAAACUCAUCUCCUUAGACCUUAAACUCCUUUUUAGGUGUUAAAAUGCCACUUAAACACCUCAUAAGCCUUAGAAUGAAGUCUAGAAGCAACCACAAACAAAAUAAGGGCCUUAAACAUGCUAGAACAACCCCCAUAGGAGCUUACGGCCGUAAACCCCCCAAGAAUGGGUUCUUAGGCCGUAAACUCCUAAAUCAUGGUCAAAUGGUGCUUUAAACUCAUUCCAUGGCUUGUAGAAUUAGCUAGAAACACUUGUAAAGGCCUAUGACCACCAAAACAUCAAAGAAUUGAGUGUGGGGGAGUUUACGGCCGUAAACUCCUAGUUUACUGCCGUAAUACCCAUUAAAUGGUCCAUAUGUGAGUUUAAUCCAUUCCAAUGCCCUAGAUUUGAUCCUAGCUAACUUUCCCAAGUGAUAUAAGGCCAUUUAGCAUCAUAGAGCACCCACCAUGAGUUUACGACCGUAAACUCAUGGGGAGAGGGUCAUUAGGGCCGUAAACCCUCUUAUGAGUUUACUCUUGAGGAGUAAACUCCAUAUCCAAGCCUUAUACGUCCUUAGAUGUCACCCGGGUCACUCCAAACUAGGGGUGUAAGUGAGCCGAGCGACUCGGGAUCGACUCGUUAAAAGCUCGACUCGAGAUCGAAUUAAACGAGCCCGAGCCGAGCUCGAGCCCAAAUAUGAGGCNNNNNNNNNNNNNNNNNNNNNNNNNNNNNNNNNNNNNNNNNNNNNNNNNNNNNNNNNNNNNNNNNNNNNNNNNNNNNNNNNNNNNNNNNNNNNNNNNNNNNNNNNNNNNNNNNNNNNNNNNNNNNNNNNNNNNNNNNNNNNNNNNNNNNNNNNNNNNNNNNNNNNNNNNNNNNNNNNNNNNNNNNNNNNNNNNNNNNNNNNNNNNNNNNNNNNNNNNNNNNNNNNNNNNNNNNNNNNNNNNNNNNNNNNNNNNNNNNNNNNNNNNNNNNNNAGGCUCGGGCUCGGCUCGGCUCGUUUACACUCCUACUCCAAACACUUAUUUUGAAGUGUUUUCGCGUCUUAGAGUGUAUGAUCUUGUCUAAUUAGUGUUAGAUACAAUUGUGUAUCAUUUCAUAUUACAUAGGAACCUCACGUGCUAUCAAGCCCCGAUCUGACACUUAGCAUUCUAGACGACACGUUCUUCGACUGGUGAGUUCAUACCCCUACACCUUUUUCCGUGUUUUUCAAUGUUUUCAGGGGGGAAUACAAGCAAAACAAUAAAUGUUUUCAAAACCUAAAACUGAUGUAUUUCUAUAAAUAUCUGGCUAACUUUUAUAUAUCUCUACCCCUUAUGUAUUAUGUUGAGCAUAAAGGAUGUUUUAUCGAUUAUAACUACAUGGAUUUCAGUAAAGGAAACAAUCAAACUAAUCAAAUUAUUAUGGGAAUAAUUUGGGAUCUUCAGUUCUUGUUUUAUGAAUUCGGAUUUCAAGUAAUGUUAAUAGAUAAACUAUGCCUGAUUCAGUUUAUCUCUGUUUAUUGUAAAGUAUUAUGCUAGAUAGUUUCUUUGUAUUAAACUGUUCUUACCGUAUUAUGUUCCAAAGUGAUUAGUAUGUCUGAUAUCGUCCGAGAACACCGUGAAUAAUUUAGUACUAGCUUGUGAGAUUCGUCGUUACCAUUUGGGUUAUCAAUAAAUCCUCCCCGAAAGUGUAACCAGAGUCUCCUGGAGGGAGAGUGUGGAAUUUGUGAAUAGAUCUAUUCGGGACUGACAAUCCCACACCUAAACUGCUAGCUACAGUUAGGCGGGCACGCCUGGGGUGACAAAUUCUGGAUAUCGUCCGACGUCUGACGAAUGUCAGGAGGUCUCGGUGUCGCAUCAACAUUGUUACCCGACUCACAAUACGUAUUAAUAUAAAUUUAUUCACGAAUUUGAUUUUAUAUCUAUCAUCUAUAUAUAGUUCUUGUAUCUAGUAAAGGAUGGUAGUCACAUGGUUUUCAAUCUAUAUCUAGUACGGGAUGGUAGUCCCAUGGUUUUCAAUCUAUAUCUAUCUAUAGUUUCGCGUAUAUCAAACUAUCUUAUAUUUAGUACGGGAGAGUAUUCCCAUGGUUUUCAAUCUAUAUCUAGUACGGGAUGGUAGUCCCAUGGUUUUCAAAUCUAUAUCUAUCUUUAGUUUCACGUAUAUCAAACUAUCUUAUAUUUAGUAUGGGAUGGUAUUCCCAUGACGUUCAAUCAAUAGUUUUCGUGUAUUAAGGCUAUCUUAUAUCUAGUGCAGGAUAGUAAUCCCAUGAUUUACAAUAUAUAGUUUUACGUAUUAAACUAUACAAUGUUACAUUUAACGAAAAUUCAGAAUUUUAACUAAACUUUACUUUUAGGAAAAUAAGGGUUUUUCCUGGGAUAACUGAACUGUUCUUAACUAGAUCGAGUAACCAAAUGGAUAACUUAACUAUACUUAUAAGAAAAUAUGAGAUUUUCUUGGAUAACAAACUUUUCGGAGAACCAAAGGAAACUUAUACAUUUUCAGAAAACAAACAUCUUAUGAACUCACCAGUUUUAUGCUGAUUUUCAAACUGCUUGUAUUCUCAGGUCCACGUUAGACAGGUACCCAACAAUCCUUUUGGCGAAGACAGAGUGCGUAGAAGACACGUCUUUACUUUUGUUCAUAUGAUAUGUAUAUGUAUAACACAUGUAACUCUUUGUUUUCAAACAAAUGUAAAUGAAUCUAUGUAAUGUAAACUUUUGUGUUUACUAUUCUUGCUAUGUACAUUGGUUGCGAUAUACAUGAUGUCCUCUGCCCCGGAGCGUUUCCGCCUUCGAUUUCGGGGUGUGACACAUGAUAUACACAUAUGCAUUUUUACGAGUGUUAUUGCAUUAAUCAAAUUUUUUAAAAUUAUCUUAUAGAUUUGGAAGUAUUUGUGGAAAAUAUUGAAGAUGUGAAAAAUGAUCAAUUGAAGAAAAUAUGGAGAUAUUGACACGAAAACAUGAAAACUCUUUGAAAUUUUGUAACAUUUUUGGUUUUUUAUAUUUUAUUUUGUAUCAAACAAAAUAUUGUACUGUUGUGUUUAUAGAUUAGUAAAUAAUUUUUUUU
rnacentral:lncRNA from 1 species